GUCUAAGGUGGUGAAGGUGUACCGUCUGAUCACUAGAAACUAUGAGAGGGAAAUGCUGGAUAAAGCUAGUCUGAAGCUCGGGCUGGACUGUGCCGUCCUGCAGAGCGUGAGUGGGAACAAAGAAGGCAACAACAACGGGCCGGUCCAGCAGUUCUCCAAGAAGGAGAUCGAGGACCUGCUGAGGAAAGGAGCCUACGCCGCCAUCAUGGACGAGAACGACGAAGGCAAUCACUUCUGCUAGGAGGACAUCGACCAGAUCCUGCAGCGAAGAGCCACCAUCAUCACCAUCACCAGUUUGCUUCAAGCAGUGGCUGCACGAGAAAGACGUGGAGGACCAAGAAAUGCUGGCCAGAUUGGCAAAGACCGGAAGAUACAUAACAGAGAAGAUAAUGGAUAUUAA